rnacentral:rRNA from 1 species
UACGUAGGGUGCGAGCGUUACUCGGAAUUACUGGGCGUAAAGCGUGCGUAGGCGGUUUUGUAAGCCAGAUGUGAAAGCCCCGGGCUUAACCUGGGAAUGGCAUUUGGGACUGCAAGGCUUGAGUGCGGCAGAGGAGACUGGAAUUCCUGGUGUAGCAGUGAAAUGCGUAGAUAUCAGGAGGAAUACCGAUGGCGAAGGCAGGUCUCUGGGCUGACACUGACGCUCAUGCACGAAAGCGUGGGGAGCAAACAGG